rnacentral:lncRNA from 1 species
AUGGAGAGGGGUGGCUAUGACUCCCAGCGCUUACCCUGUAACUGCUUGUUCUUCUGCAGCAUAGGAAAAAAUGACUUGGUCGAAGGCGCUGACGCCAGCUUUGUUCCCCAGAAAGAAGCGCUGCUGGAAGAUGUCUCAUCUCCUCCGACGUCGGAGAGCCCUUGGGAAGACAUUCCUCCGGUGGGAGCAGAGAGGUCCAUGUGCCAGGGAACGUCGCCCUGCUGCCGAGGUGGGAGUAAUGACAGUGAGACAUCGGGUUUGGACACAAACUUGUGGGAUAUGACCCCAGACCGAAAGCUGAGGCCUUUCAAGGUGGAAAAGCAUGGGUACACCCCAGAGACAGUUUGCUUGCUCUUUGCAGUCGAGCGGUGGAAGGGCAGCAGCCAGGUACGGUGUGUCGCAUCCUGCAGCCCCAGUGCCCCCCAGAUUUAAGCAGGACCCUCAUUUUGGUUUGCGUGGCCAGGUUCUCUCCCCUUCC